AUGUUUAUUCAUUUCUUUUUUCUUUGCUUUUUCUUUUGUUUUCGCCGAAUUCCUUCCCUCUCCCUCACGCACCCGAGCCGCAUCCCCUCCUCACCCGACGCCAUCUUCUCCCGAGCCCUAACCAGCGCCGAGCGGUUUCCUCUCCCUCUCCGCGUACAAAACCUCUCGGCCAAGGGCUUCGCCUUCUUCUUUUUCUUCCCGAGCUUUGCCCUAAUCUCUCUGCAGCCCGCCGCCGUCGAACGAAGCACCGUCGGCCAGUUCUUCUUUCCUCGACAACCAUUUCUCCUCGACGCAUUCCCUUCUUCUUCCACCUCACCGGCACUUGAACAAGAGCCGGCAGACUCCUCUGCAUCCCGAUUCCUUUCCCCUCCUCUGGUCCGACGAGACACCGCCGGUCUUCCUUCUGCUCUAGCCGAGUCCCUCCCACCAGCCGCCGAACUCGCGUGCCCUAGAUUUUGGGUUCACAGCCACCGCCCCUCUUCGAUCUCCUCUGUGACAGCCACCAGGUCUGACCUAGCGCUGGCCGCCGGCUGAUUUUCUGUGCCUUAGUCGCCGCUGUGAGGUUUGAGCCGACCAACAGAUUCACUGCCGCCACCGUCGGCCAAGUUCCCUCUUCCGUGCCGCUGAUCUGGAGCGACUGCUGCCGUGCUUCUGUUUUGUGUGUCGCCGGGAGUUGAGAGCUCGAGAAGGCGACAGAGGGCAACAGUGAUUCGACAGUGGGAUUUAAGAUUCAUUUCGCUGAAAGUGUAUCGGGGUUCCACAGCAGCUGUGAUUUUUCUAGCCAUAAUUUCCAGCAACAUCCUUGCUGUGAGAAGUGAGGACUUUGACGCAAGACGAGUAUCUCGAUGUCGGAUUUGGACAUUCCUAUUGGAGGCGGGUA